rnacentral:rRNA from 1 species
AUGGCCACAUGGAACCACACCACCGCACCAGAUUUCUGCACCUGGCAUGGCGUCUCAUGCGCCAGGAGGCCAAGGCAGCCACCCCUCGUGGUAGCCUUAGAGAUGGAGGCCCAAGGCCUCGCCGGUGAGAUCCCGCCCUGCAUCGCCAACCUCACUUCUCUGGUAAGGAUCCACUUGCCCAACAACCGGCUCUCCGGUCAUAUCCCGCCGGAGCUCGGCCGGCUCUCCGGACUCCGGUACCUCAACCUCAGCUUCAACGCGCUGAACGGCACCAUCCCUUUCACCCUCGGCGCGCUUCACAACCUUUCUUCGCUAGACCUGGGCGGCAAUGGGCUUUCCGGUGAGAUUCCGGCACUGCUCGGGAGUUCGCCGGCUCUAGAGUACAUCAGCCUCUCUGACAAUUUUCUUGACGGAGAAAUCCCGCUGUCACUGGCGAAUAGUUCCUCGCUUCGUUACCUGUCUCUGGACAACAACAGCAUUCAAGGGGCGAUCCAUGCGUCCCUUUUCAACAGCUCAACCAUCACCGAGAUACACCUUUGGCACAACAAUCUUUCUGGUGCAAUUCCACAUUUCAUGAUGUUCUCUUCAAAACUCACGUACCUAGAUCUCUCCCAAAACAGUCUUUCUGGAGUCGUGCCGUCGUCGGUGGCAAACCUCUCGUCCCUUACCUCACUCGACCUCUCGCACAACCAGUUGCAAGGAUCCAUUCCAGAUUUGGGUAAACUUGCCGGACUACAAAGCCUUGGUCUCUCAUAUAACAGUCUGUCAGGAAUAGUCCCACCCCCCAUUUACAAUAUGUCUUCAUUGAAUUAUCUUACGCUAGCCAGCAACAAUCUUGAAGGAACGCUGCCUUCUGAUUUGGGUAUCACACUUCCUAACCUCCAAACACUGAGCAUGGCUAAUAAUCAUUUUGUGGGUAACAUUCCUGCCUCCCUACAAAAUGCCUCCAGCAUGAUGUAUAUCCAUAUGGGCAACAACUCUCUGACUGGUGUGGUUCCUUCUUUCAGCUCCAUGAAAAAUUUGGAGUACGUAAUGUUGUACUCAAAUCAUCUAGAGGCUGGAGCCUGGACAUUCUUCUCCUCUUUGGCGAAUUGUACCCAACUGCUGAAACUUAACAUCGGUGAAAACAACUUGAAAGGGAAUUUCCCAGCAAAUUCUGUAGCAAAUCUCCCCAAAAGCUUGACCGCUUUAACCCUUCGGUCAAACAACAUCUCUGGCACCAUCCCCUUGGAGAUUGGAAACCUUUCAAGUCUUUCCAUGCUCUAUCUUGAUACUAAUCUUUUCAUUGGGCCUAUACCUUUCACCCUUGGUCAGCUACGCAAUCUGGCAAUGCUUAGCCUGUCAAGGAACAAAUUUUCAGGAGAGAUACCUCCUUCCAUUGGGGACCUACAUCAACUGGAAGAGCUUUAUUUGCAAGAAAAUCAAUUGAUUGGAAGCAUACCUGAAAGUCUAGCUAGUUGUCAGAACUUGGUUGCAUUGAACCUUUCAUGUAAUACUCUUGGUGGAAGCAUAAGCGGACACAUGUUGGGCAGCUUGAACCAACUGAGCUGGCUACUUGAUUUAUCACACAAUCAACUCUCAAUGUCCUUACCACUAGAGAUAGGUAGCUUGAUAAACCUUGGAUCCUUGAACAUCUCUCAUAACAAUAUUACAGGCAUAAUCCCGUCCACACUUGGCAACUGUGUCCAGUUGGAAUCGCUUCACUUAGAAGGGAACCUCCUGCAAGGAAGCAUUCCACAAUCACUAUCAAGCCUCAAAGCCAUCCAAGUGUUAGAUUUCUCCCACAACAAUCUAUCUGGUACAAUACCGGAGUUCCUUGAGACCUUCACCACGUUGCAGUAUCUGAAUAUGUCCUUUAAUGACUUGGAAGGACCCAUUCCCACUAGUGGAGUUUUUUCUAACACAAGUGGCGUUUUUGUCCAAGGAAAUCCAUACCUUUGUGCAAAUUUUGCGGUACAAGAGCUGCCUAGAUGCUUUUCUUCUGAAUCCACAAAAGAACACAAGUUUGUCAUCCCAGUGUUGAUAGCUCUAUCAGCUCUUGCCGCACUAGCUUUGAUCUUGGGGAUGUUCAUUUUCUGGUUGAAGACGGGGUACAAAUCUAAUGAGAACAUUGUCCAUUCAUACAUGGAGCUGAAAAGGAUAACAUAUGGUGAUGUAAUCCAAGCAACAAAUAGUCUUUCUCUAGCCAAUGUAGUCGGCUCCGGGCAAUUUGGGACCGUCUACAAAGGUUGGUUUGACGCGGAAGAUGGUACGGUUGCUGUCAAAGUCUUCAAGCUCAAUCAGCAUGGCGCAUUGCAUAGCUUCAUUGCUGAGUGCAAAGCAUUGCAACACAUCCGCCACCGGAAUCUCGUGAAGGUGAUAACCGCGUGCUCAACUUAUGACCCAGUGGGAAAUGAGUUCAAGGCACUAGUCUUUGAGUAUAUGGCCAACGGAAGCCUUGAGGACCGACUUCAUAACCACCAGCGUGGUAGUUUGAGUUUAGGCGGAGUGAUAUGCAUAUCAAUUGACAUUGCUUGUGCUCUUGAAUACCUACAUAACCAGUGUACCCCACCGGUAGUUCACUGUGAUCUGAAACCAAGCAACAUACUUUUUGACAAUGACGAUACUNNNNGUGUCUGCGACUUUGGUCUGGCGAAGCUAAUUCAUGGUUGUUCAUCUGGAGGGCAGAGUGGUACAACAAGCAUAGUUGGACCAAGAGGGUCUAUUGGGUACAUACCUCCUGAGUAUGGUAUGGGCGGUGAAAUCUCCACCCAGGGAGACAUCUACAGCUAUGGCAUUGUUCUUUUGGAAAUGCUAACACAGAAACGGCCUACUAGUGAAGAGUUCAGUGAUGGCUUGACACUCCGCAAGUAUGUGGAAGCAUCACUUUCACGAACCCAAGACAUUCAACCCAACCUUACUACGGAGGUGGGAGAUCAGUGUGUUGAUCAUAUUCCAAACUUGCAAGAAUGCAACACAUUUGCGCUGGAGCAUAUAUGUGCUCUCCGUCUCUUUAAACUUGGCUUAUUAUGCUCUGCGGAAUCACCAAAGGAUCGCCCAACGAUGCAUGAUGUCUACGGCAAAGUAACUGAAGUAAAAGAGGCAUUUUUCUCCAUGGACAACUGCAGCAAUGACCUUACAUUAUUAAGACAAAAAGGCGGACGAUGA